GGGACACGUGGUAUCCUGUCUGAAUAUGGGGGGACCAUCCUCCAAGGCUAAAUACUCCUGACUGACCGAUAGUGAACCAGUACCGUGAGGGAAAGGCGAAAAGAACCCCGGCGAGGGGAGUGAAAAAGAACCUGAAACCGUGUACGUACAAGCAGUGGGAGCACCCUUUGGGGUGUGACUGCGUACCUUUUGUAUAAUGGGUCAGCGACUUAUAUUCUGUAGCAAGGUUAACCGUAUAGGGGAGCCGCAGGGAAACCGAGUCUUAACCGGGCGUUAAGUUGCAGGGUAUAGACCCGAAACCCGGUGAUCUAGCCAUGGGCAGGUUGAAGGUUGGGUAACACUAACUGGAGGACCGAACCGACUAAUGUUGAAAAAUUAGCGGAUGACCUGUGGCUGGGGGUGAAAGGCCAAUCAAACCGGGAGAUAGCUGGUUCUCCCCGAAAGCUAUUUAGGUAGCGCCUCGUGAAUUCAUCUCCGGGGGUAGAGCACUGUUUCGGCUAGGGGGCCAUCCCGGCUUACCAACCCGAUGCAAACUGCGAAUACCGGAGAAUGUUAUCACGGGAGACACACGGCGGGUGCUAACGUCCGUCGUGAAGAGGGAAACAACCCAGACCGCCAGCUAAGGUCCCAAAGUCAUGGUUAAGUGGGAAACGAUGUGGGAAGGCCCAGACAGCCAGGAUGUUGGCUUAGAAGCAGCCAUCAUUUAAAGAAAGCGUAAUAGCUCACUGGUCGAGUCGGCCUGCGCGGAAGAUGUAACGGGGCUAAACCAUGCACCGAAGCUGCGGCAGCGACACUCAGGUGUUGUUGGGUAGGGGAGCGUUCUGUAAGCCUGUGAAGGUGGCCUGUGAGGGUUGCUGGAGGUAUCAGAAGUGCGAAUGCUGACAUAAGUAACGAUAAAGCGGGUGAAAAGCCCGCUCGCCGGAAGACCAAGGGUUCCUGUCCAACGUUAAUCGGGGCAGGGUGAGUCGACCCCUAAGGCGAGGCCGAAAGGCGUAGUCGAUGGGAAACGGGUUAAUAUUCCCGUACUUGGUGUUACUGCGAAGGGGGGACGGAGAAGGCUAUGUUGGCCGGGCGACGGUUGUCCCGGUUUAAGCGUGUAGGCUGGUUUUCCAGGCAAAUCCGGAAAAUCAAGGCUGAGGCGUGACGACGAGGCACUACGGUGCUGAAGCAACAAAUGCCCUGCUUCCAGGAAAAGCCUCUAAGCAUCAGGUAACAUCAAAUCGUACCCCAAACCGACACAGGUGGUCAGGUAGAGAAUACCAAGGCGCUUGAGAGAACUCGGGUGAAGGAACUAGGCAAAAUGGUGCCGUAACUUCGGGAGAAGGCACGCUGACAUGUAGGUGAAGUGAUUUACUCAUGGAGCUGAAGUCAGUCGAAGAUACCAGCUGGCUGCAACUGUUUAUUAAAAACACAGCACUGUGCAAACACGAAAGUGGACGUAUACGGUGUGACGCCUGCCCGGUGCCGGAAGGUUAAUUGAUGGGGUCAGCGCAAGCGAAGCUCCUGAUCGAAGCCCCGGUAAACGGCGGCCGUAACUAUAACGGUCCUAAGGUAGCGAAAUUCCUUGUCGGGUAAGUUCCGACCUGCACGAAUGGCGUAAUGAUGGCCAGGCUGUCUCCACCCGAGACUCAGUGAAAUUGAACUCGCUGUGAAGAUGCAGUGUACCCGCGGCAAGACGGAAAGACCCCGUGAACCUUUACUAUAGCUUGACACUGAACAUUGAGCCUUGAUGUGUAG
rnacentral:rRNA from 1 species